ACAUUGCUGGUACGGAGUGAAAUGUGAAUCCAGGCAGUCUGGCUCCAGAGCUUCUAACCACUGCCUCUCAUGACCCCCUUUUUGGGAGCUGAGGAAAUGGUACCCAGCGGGCAUUCGUGAUGUGUCCAUGGUCACAGGCUUCGUUGAGUGGUGGCCCUUAGAUCUGGAUGGAACCCGGCCUGCUGAGCUCAGUGUGGAAGGCUUUGAUCACCCAGCACCCACACGUCCAGUGAAGGUCCUGGACAAUGGAUUGCAUGAAAAGAGGCGAUUCUGCUAUGAAGACCGAAGCACAUGCCCCCAUGUCCCAGCAAAUUGAGGACAGAGCUGGGGUCAUCCUGAUGCUUUUCUAACACAGUGAGCCGAAUGCCUCUCCAUUUCCCAGGAUUUGAAAUGCUUCCCUCGCUUUCUAUCUAUAGUUCCUGCACUGAAGAUAUGCAGGACCAAGGUAUUGCAAAAGGACCCAAGAGGACUCCCCUCCCUCCUGAUGUGUGUGAUACACAUAUACAGCAUGGGCUAAGAUAUUCAGGACAACUGCGCAUUCCUGGGUGUAGAGACUCGAAGACGAGCGAUAGAUGACGUCUGGACCUGCAGCCCCUCUGACUAGCCGGGUGAGCUCAGAGGCUUUCCUCUCCAUCUGCUCGGAGCCCCUCGGGAGAGAGCGUACCUGAAGAACCUCAGACAGAAAAGGGAUGGAAGGGGCGGACACUGUGUUGGAAGUAAUUGGAAGAGUUUUAACUAAGUCCCCUUGACUUUGGGGCGCCUUAUUCCGCAGUAGGGUAUUUAGAAUCCCUCAUGGUCUUUCUCAGUCUGAGAGUAUAUGCUCGGGGUGUCAGCAGUAGCUUGCCAGCUUUAGGGUUUUGAAUCGAGGGACCCUCAGUUCAUUUGCCAGCAUUUCGUUUUGCCGAAUAAGUCUGGAAAGAAACACCAUCUAUAGUCACCACCAUUUCAUAAAAGGCAGGGCCCAUUCAUUCCUGAGCUCGGAAGGACCUCAUCGCAGAACAGAGGGUUUGCUCCUUCGUUCUUGGUCACACAUUCAGCGGAUGUCGGCUGCGUGCUCACGCUGUGCGGUCACGGUGCUCGAUGGACUGUAAUACUUACUCCCUGCCCUCGUAGGUCACAGAAGUUGCAGUUAAAUGUACAAUUUAAAGAUUUAAAUGCUACAAAAGGAAGAUGACUGGGGCUCUGAGGGUACACAAUAGUGGGGGCAGGGCGCCCCAAUC